rnacentral:rRNA from 1 species
CCUACGGGGGGCAGCAGUGGGGAAUAUUGCACAAUGGGCGCAAGCCUGAUGCAGCCAUGCCGCGUGUAUGAAGAAGGCCUUCGGGUUGUAAAGUACUUUCAGCGGGGAGGAAGGUGCUGUGGUUAAUAACCACAGCAAUUGACGUUACCCGCAGAAGAAGCACCGGCUAACUCCGUGCCAGCAGCCGCGGUAAUACGGAGGGUGCAAGCGUUAAUCGGAAUUACUGGGCGUAAAGCGCACGCAGGCGGUUGAUUAAGUCAGAUGUGAAAUCCCCGGGCUC